rnacentral:pre_miRNA from 1 species
GUUGAGGGGAAUGCUGUCUGGUUCGAAACCAUUCACCAAAGUAUGAUCAAGAGUUUGAUUAUUUGAAUGAUUUCGGACCAGGCUUCAUUCCCCCCAAC